rnacentral:rRNA from 1 species
UGGUGGAGCGAUUUGUCUGGUUAAUUCCGAUAACGAACGAGACUCUAGCCUAUUAAAUAGUUCGCCGAUCCAUCUUGUCGGCGUCAACUUCUUAGAGG